UGCCAGCCGCCGCGGUAAUACGUAGGGGGCUAGCGUUGUUCGGAAUUACUGGGCGUAAAGCGCGCGUAGGCGGGCUGGUCAGUUGGGGGUGAAAUCCCGGGGCUCAACCCCGGAACUGCCUCCGAUACUGGUAGUCUUGAGGUCGAGAGAGGUGAGUGGAAUUCCGAGUGUAGAGGUGAAAUUCGUAGAUAUCGGGAGGAACACCAGUGGCGAAGGCGACGAUCUGGACUGAUACUGACGCUGAGGUGCGAAAGCGUGGGGAGCAAACAGGAUUAGAUA
rnacentral:rRNA from 1 species